rnacentral:rRNA from 1 species
CCCUUAGAUGUCCUGGGCCGCACGCGCGUUACACUGAUGCAUUCAACGAGCUUAUAACCUUGGCCGAGAGGCCUGGGCAAUCUUGUUAACGUGCAUCGUGAUAGGGAUAGAUUAUUGAAAUUAUUAAUCUUGAACGAGGAAUUCCUAGUAAACGCAGAUCAUCAAUCUGCAUUGAUUACGUCCCUGCCCUUUGUACACACCGCCCGUCGCACCUACCGAUUGGAUGGUCCGGUGAAGCCUCGGGAUUGUGGUUCUUGCCGCUUUAUUGUGGCGUGACCGCGAGAACUGGUCUAAACCUUAUCAUCUAGAGGAAGGUGAAGUCGUAACA